UAUUCCUACUCACAGAUCUUGAGUGAUUUUUUUUAAUUAUUUCCUAAAUAAAAUUCCCGGCCAACGGAGUCCGGAGCCGUCCAACAAGAUUGUUCCUCACGCCGGCGUGCCCCCCGCCACCGCGCGCCAUCGCCGUAGAGGCUACCACUGGGACUUCGAGGUCGCUCCUCUCUCCAUCUGGGCCGCCGCCCCUCUCGCGCACCGCGCGGCCUCUCUCCCUGCCCCUCGCCCUCGCCACCUCGCCGAUGGCCUCCGGCUGUGCGGCGGCGGCGGGAUGCUGGCUUCUCCCAGCCGAUAUCUAGGCCCUGAUCCGAGAGAUUUUGACAUGGAUCUAUGAAUAUGGCCAGCAGCACUAAAUUAAAAGGUGAGGAGAGGCUGGAUAAGCCCAAAGGGUGCCCCCACGUCUCUCCGUACUACAAUGCCGCCGAUCCUAUUAUCAUCAAUGGCAAAGGGAUUGAUCCCUUUGAGCUGAGUGAAGGUAUGGAUAAAAGAAGAGUGGCUUCAAUUCUUCAAAGUUUCACUUGAGGCAACCGAGAGAAACCACGCUGCUUCACAAGGCAAUGGCGAUUCCAAUACGGACAGUAGCAGCCUCUGGAUUCUAGAUUCUGGAAAUAAAAGAGGUAUUGCUGACCAUAAUGUGAGUAAAUGAACGAAAUCUUUUAUACUGCUGGUGUUAUCUACUUGGUUCAGAGUUUCAGACAGGAAAUUGCACCUAGUCCUAGGUAAUGUGUGAUUGUUUUGUUAGCUUUAUGAAGACAUCUUAUGUCCAAAUUGCUCUGACAGAGGGCAUUCGUCAUGCUAUCUGGCCAGCCAGUAACAUUUUCAAUUAAAAUAUCUUGAGUUUGUUUUGCAUAAGUUGUCUGCUAUGUUAAUUACCAAUCAUAAUAUAACAUAUCAGAUCCUGCACAAUGAAAGCUGGCCAGGAAAUUUGCUUUGUACUUUGUACUCACUGUCUUAUGUGGCAAUUUUUCUCA